AGUGGGAAAAACUAUUGAGUAUAUCAUAAACAUUAAUAAUAGACAACAUCCAAAUCAACUUUUGCAGGCAAUAAAGCAGAGGGUCUUUGGCUGCACGCAUAUGGCAGGAUAUAAAACCGGGAAUCUAGUUGUUGUCAAGCUUUUGUAGUUUUUGGUUUAUCAGGCUUGUACUUGCUGCCUUAUUUUGUUUUUGUUUCUUGGAAGUCCUCUUUCUAGAGAGAACUCGAGCAUGCCACGUUUAGUAGAAAUGAUCGAGACUAUGGAAACGGUUAACAUUCUAUACACAUUGAUAUUUGUUACUGUUACAAACACUCCUAUGCUAAAGCAUGGGUAAAACAGAAAUGGAAAGAAAGACUCGGAGAGCCUCAGAGAGUGUGAAGAAGACUGGCAGUAUGCAUCACUUUGAUCAUGACUCAUGAGAAAGAAACAAUUACUUGAC